GUUUAACCGCCAGCUGAGAAUUUCCGAUGGUCCAGCUAGCGCUUGCUGCAAUUUCUAUUUGAAUAACUGUUAUACGAAGGCACAAUUUAGUUUGUAUUAAAGGGUCUACGGUAAAAUACGGAGACAAAGCUUCUGGCCUUUCUGUUGCAGGAGGACGGAUAUGCGUACGCGUCCAGUUGUUGUGGUGUGGAAAGAACACGAGCGUGCAUUUUGACGCUUGCCGGCUUUGUUUUCCCUGGCCAGAAUAAUUGGUUGGUUGAAGGCGUUAAGCUAAUGUCUACACAGCCGGCAAUUUCAAAAGGUUAAUGAAAGUUUCGUUUAAAUGAUUGCAACGCUGAUUUCGUUUUGAUAGAAAAAACUGAAGUUUUAAAUGCAAAUUUAGAAAAAAAAAAACAAAGUCAGAAGACUCACUUGAUAUGCCGUGUUUUGUUGGCUGUGCGGAUUGUGUCGCGCCAUGGCGCGCCAUUCAGACUGUCGCUGACUAGCGUUUGUUUUGUGUGCGUGGCGACGCCGAGAACGAGUGUCGUGAGUCGUUUAAACGGCUUUUCUGUGCUUACUCGGUAGCACACAAAUAUCCUGCCAGUGAUUAAAGUUCUGUGUUGGUUAUAUUUGAGGUGAAAUGUUGUCAAAAUAAUGAAAACGAGUAGUCAAAUAGUGUUAAUUACGUUUGCUAGCAUAUUUCGCAAAACACGAUCAUAUAAAAUGACAACCAAACGAAAACAAUCAAACUUUGAUUUGUGGCAACAUUAGACAUUUAAAUUUCAAAAUGUUUUUUGACGAUUUCCAGUUUCAGCGGCUAGUUCAAAAAGUUGAAUCCAGGGAAGGAACAUGGAACUUAUAGCGACAGAACCCUUCGAAGGGCUAAAUAACAUGAUCUGGCUGAAAUAUUAACGAUGCCCUGAUCGGAAGUGGCAACCAAAUGAAACAACUUUUGCUGCUCUUUACGCGCGGCCUUUAAUCGUAUCAGUCACACAAAAGUGAACAAGGUGCUGGAAAAGCCCCCACGAUGAGCCCGCUCCAUAUAUCAUUGAAGUUUCUAAAACCGACUUUGCGUGCUGAAGAGAAUUCCACUUCAAAUCUAAUAAAUGACAGCCCAUCGGCCUCAAGCUCUCCAACAACAUUGUUGGAGUCGGACAUUAUAUCUGAGAAUACAAUAUCAACGUCAUUCACAUCAUAUGGCAAUUUAAGAAGACGUCGAGGGCAAAAAACGAUAAUGAGUAUACUCAAAUAAUUGAACGUGCGUCUCUACUCACAUCAGCAACUAAAGCUGAUGGUUGGGAUGAGUUAGGCAACUUUUUGUCGUUAAAUGGAAGAGAGUGGACCCAAGAAUCUACAUAAUUAUGAGCUCAAGCGGGGCAUAUGUGAAUUGAUAUUUAACUACUAAAAGAAAUUGCCAAGCUCCACAUCAUGCCGUUCAAAUUCGCAAAACUUUUUUUCUAUGCUAGUCAAAUGAAAUGUUCCUUAUCUUUUUUAUAAACAAUAUUCACUGGUAAAUUGAAUAUGUAUAUAUGUACAACAGUUUGAAUAUUGAAUAAAACUGAGUGAUGGAAACUUUUUUCAUUUAGUGUA